rnacentral:rRNA from 1 species
UAAGACAGGGGGCCCGAGCGUUAAUCGGAAUCACUGGGCUUAAAGGGUGCGUAGGCGGACCCGUAAGUGCUUCGUGAAAACCCACGGCUCAACCGUGGAAUUGCGGUGCAUACUGCGGGUCUUGAGGGAAGUAUGGGCGGACAGAACUAUCGGUGGAGCGGUGAAAUGCGUAGAUAUCGAUAGGAAUGCCGAUGGCGAAGGCGGUCCGCUGGGCUUCUCCUGACGCUCAGGCACGAAAGCGUGGGGAGCAAACAGGAUUAGAUACCCUGGUAGUCCACGCCGUAAACGAUGCGCACUAGACCGGUGCGGCUCUGACGCCGUAUCGGUCGCAGUAAAAACGUUAAGUGCGCCGCCUGGGGAGUACGGUCGCAAGGCUA